rnacentral:rRNA from 1 species
AUCCAGCCAUGCCGCGUGUGUGAAGAAGGCCUUUUGGUUGUAAAGCACUUUAAGCGAGGAGGAGGCAGACUCUAGAUUAAUACUCCUAGGAAUCGUGGACGUUACUCGCAGAAUAAGCACCGGCUAACUCUGUGCCAGCAGCCGCGGUAAUACAGAGGGUGCAAGCGUUAAUCGGAUUUACUGGGCGUAAAGCGCGCGUAGGUGGCCAAUUAAGUCAAAUGUGAAAUCCCCGAGCUUAACUAGGGAAUUGCAUUCGAUACUGGUUGGCUAGAGUAUGGGAGAGGAUGGUAGAAUUCCAGGUGUAGCGGUGAAAUGCGUAGAGAUCUGGAGGAAUACCGAUGGCGAAGGCAGCCAUCUGGCCUAAUACUGACACUGAGGUGCGAAAGCAUGGGGAGCAAACAGGAUUAGAUACCCUGGUAGUCCAUGCCGUAAACGAUGUCUACUAGCCGUUGGGGCCUUUGAGGCUUUAGUGGCGCAGCUAACGCGAUAAGUAGACCGCCUGGGGAGUACNGUCGCAAGACUANNACUCAAAUGANUUGACNGGGGCCCGCACAAGCGGUGGAGCAUGUGGU